AGAAACAACCAAACUAGAAGAAAAGUCUGUGUUGAGCUCUGUUUGGUCACCAAAGCGGCUUUAGAAUGAGUGGAGAUGCACAGGAUAUUGAAACGAGUUCCCAGAAUUCUAUUCAUGAUGACCAAAUUAAUCAUAAUAUUAUUGCCAUUCAUUUCAAGUGACAACAUAGCAGAACACAGAUGUUAAUCCAAAGUCAGUUAAGUAAUUAAGGGUGUCAUGCUAACAAUGAUAGAAGUAUUGAAGUAUAGUAGAAUCAGCAAUUAUUAUGGAUACUUGAAACCAAGGAAAACAGACCAAAGGUAAAAAAAGGGCAGAAAUAAAACUAAGUAUGGUAAUAAUUUUAUGAGAAAGAAAAGCAUUGUUUGAAGAAACCUGAACAGUUCCAAUGCAUGUAUCCACAACAAAAAAGUAAAAAAAAACUAAUCUCCAUUAAAAACUUGCUUGAAUAGUAACAGCUUUAAUUGGUGUUUAAAUAAAAAGCACAACAGACUUAAUUGCUCACAAUUGAGUGCUACAAUGCUUCAUUUAAUUGUUUGUUUGUUUAUAAAUGUUAUAUACUGCAAUUUCUUGGGUUUUUUUUUUUUAAAAAAGUUCAAACUGGAGAUGCAAUUGAAUUAAUAAAACAGUUAACAUCAUUUAAUUUUAAAGCAGUUACUGCUGAAAAUUUGAACAAAUCAGUUGGCAAUUCUGAGGCUAUAGACUGCAUGUGGUUCAUAGUUUUCUCUUUAUUGUUUGUUAAUUCCUGUGUUCCAGUCACAAAAUUUAAAUUGCUGGAUUUCAGAACUCAAAUUUUCAAUUAAUUGAGUAAGUAAUUUAAAGUGUGGGAAAGAGAAUUCUUGUUCCUAUCUCUCACCCCAGCACUUUUUAAAUUUAACCAAAAAGGUGAAAAUCAAUCAAAUAAACAAAAUCUUUCCAAUUCCAGUGAAGUCAUUUGAUCAGUUACACCAGAUCAAGGAGAGAAUUCCAUACAGAACUAUGUGCAUUGUAAAUGCUCUGUCUUGGAUCAGAAUACAACAAAUCACUAGCAAAUGUAACUCUCUGGAGGAUAUGCCACUAGAUCUUAAUAGCCAAGCAGAAUCUCUGCUAUACACCCACGUCAUUAGCAAAAUCAGUCUGUCUUUAGCAUGACAAAUUCCUUAAAUGUAGCUUUAGAGCAGAAUAACUCUCAGUACAAUGUUUUCAAAACAAAUAUGAUCUUAUAGCAGUUCCACAAUUAACAGUUACAUAGUUGUUUUGCCAGCAAUCUGAAAUGUAAUCCUGUAAACAGAGGUUCCAAAUAAAAUUUUAUUGAUAGGCUAAUAAUGGUUUAUUAUUUCUUGUAAGCCAUUUAUGAAAGUUUGUUAUCUCAAGAUCUGAACUGAUCAGCAAUCACUGUCUGUUCCAUACAUCUUGUGUGAAUGUUUCUUAUACACUAUUUCAGAUAGGCAGAACUUGACAUGUGAUAUCUCAUAACAACACUUUUUUUUCCCUCGUGGUCAUUAAUUGUGUAGAAACACACACCUACACAGCUUUCACUCACAGAUGCACACAUUCUGUUAAACAUUGUCAAAGACUGAUAGAAUAACAGGUGGCUUAGAAGUAUUCGAAGUAAAUAGUAAAUACCAUCAAUUGUAGUGAUACUAUUUAAUUUGACCACCCUGGCAUGUUACUUUAAAAAAGGUGUAAUAUGCAUGGCUCCUCCUUUAUAUGCAUAUGAAUAUAUGUUUUCCCCUACUAAUUCUUGUUGUCAUCACUGCAGAUAUACCUAAUGUUGAUGGAGCUCCUGCAAACAGUUUUUUUUUCUCAGUCUAUUUGCUCAGACUAGUCAAUACAGCAAGUAAAAAAUAAAUAUUCUGUCUAUAUCACCAUAGCAACUAAUGAACAAACAACUAGUGUCCGUUCUUCCUUUUAAACUUUUUUUUUUAGUAAAGUGAAUGAAUUCCUCAAAGGAAAAUGAAUGAAGAAGAAAACUCGCAACAAACAAACAAACAAACAAACAAAAAAGACUUGUACUAAUUUUGACCUGUUUGUCCAAGUUAAGAAUAUGCUAAGGUAUAAACCGAGCUUCUCACAGCAUGAUUGCUUUGGAUCAAUUUUAUUUGGAAAGAACUGUUUUUAAAACUUACAAACUUAAAAUUAAUUAAAAAAUAUUCUUGACAUUGUAUUCAACUUAUGCAGGUGUUAUGCUGAGAACAACAGAAGUUUUAAUAGAACAACCAGAUCAAUCACUGUAUGUUGAAGAUGCCUCUGUACUUCUUAAUGCAUUCCAGUAUUAAGGAACACAAGACUUGUGGACUUUGAUUAUUUGCAUAUAUACCACUGGAAAAGAAAAGUGUGCACCGCUGUGGUGAAGUGUAGCAGGCAAAUGGAAUCUUUGCAUCCAAAUAUAUUCAACGUCUGGAUUAUGAAAUUAAAUUUCAGCACUGGCAAAAUGGUAGCAUUUUCUCUUCAAAGCUGUCCACCUCUUCCAGAGGAGCUGCCCCUUUUCUUCAACAUCUUGACAGUGGACCAGUUGUGGCAGUAAGGAUACUCUUCCCUACAGUACCACGCAAGACUGCUCAAGGUCCUUCUAAGAAGCUGGGUAGAACAAGUGGAGAAACCAGGACAAGAGGACAUGGUCACAGAGCCACAAAUACUUGAAUUAUUGACAUAACGUUAUAAACAUAUGGAAUGGCCUAUCAGAUGCUAUUGCUUAGACAGAACACAAGGAUCAUUCAAGAAACAAUUAGAUGCCUCUCUAAAGAAAUGGAAUGCUUCACAUGGAUUAGACCUUAUGGGCCAAUAGCCCUUAUGGCUUCGCUUUGAAUUGGAAUUCUCUCUGGAACUUUUGUAGGCAAUUUCCAAGUGCAAUUCAAAAUCCUGGUUUUGAUCCUUACGUGGCUUGGCACCAAAGUAUAUUCAGAACUGUCUUCUCCAAUCAGUAUCAUCCUAUUGGGAGAAACAGACUCUUCAUUGCCUUGCAUUUUUGCAAAGUCAAAGAGACAGAAGCCAAGAUGGUAUCCUUCUUCAAAAUGGGUCCUACAUUAUGAAAUAAACUUCCUUGUGUUAUUAGAUGGCUUCCCAUUCUGCAGCCCUUUGGGAAGUUUCUUUGGACUGACUUGUUUCAGAAAAUCUUUGGUGGCUGUCUGAUAUUUACAUCAACAACUGCACUUAAAAUUAUUACUAUGGAUGCAAAUAAUGCAUGACUAUAAAUUGAUUCUUUUCAAGAAUGUCCUGAUUAUGGUAUUUCAAGCACCAUGGAAUUCCUAUUGCUAUUGUAAAUGUUUUUUUAAAAUUUAUGUUAUUAUUAUAGAUGCUUUAUCCUUGAUCAUUGCUAUGGAUGUUUUAAUCAUUGCAGUUGUGGUUGACUAUAAGCCUCUGUAAGUUCAUAUGAUUCAGUGGUACAUGAAUUCAAUACAUGAAAACAGUUAAUGAAAUAAGCUUCCAA